rnacentral:misc_RNA from 1 species
CCAUCAAUUUGUUUUGAUUGUGGGCUUGGAUUGUGGGGGCUUGCUGGUGGACUCUUGUUCAUCGGCUCCUCUGAAAUGUAUUAGCAAAGGUUGAUGUGCRAACCAGUGUCUCGGUGUGAUAAUGAUCAUCGUGUCUGACGUGCAGUGUUCCUGUGCUUACAGUUGUUGUCGCAAGACAACAUUUUUGAACCUU